GGUUUUGUUAAGGUAUCUGGGACUGGUAAGAGUGAUCGCAAGCCCGACAUGAUUUUGCUCCUGAUAGUGGCCUUUUAUUGUUUUGUUGCACUCAUCAUCAUCCUGUCUGCGAAAUACAUUAGAGCAUGUCCCACAGGAACUGUGAAGAAAAGAAGUAAGACAAGAAAAUCAAACACUCAAGGUUGCAGAUACUUUACCUCAAGCAGGAGAAGAUCAGACAAAUCAGACAACUGACAGCUGAGAAAAAUCAAACAAGCGACAACCCAAAGUUCAAAAAUUCAACAGCGAGAAGACUUCAUUUUGACCAAUAAUGUUUUUAUGUUUAUCUUAUUUGUUUUUGUUCAGUUUUGUUGUCCUUGUUUUUAGCUGUAUGUCUGUUUCUGUCUCUAUUAUUUCAGCAUAAGAACAACUACUUCUUCUACCAUUGCUUGUUAAUAUGAUUGUUUGUAUAUUUUUAUACAGUGAUGUUUAUUAUUUUUUUAUUUAAGGAAUGAUAAAUUAAGGAUUUUCUGCAAAAAGGUCAAUAAAAACCUUUGACAGUGA